GGCUCAGAGUGAACGCUGGCGGCGUGCCUAACACAUGCAAGUCGAACGAGAACGGAUUUAGUUUACUAAAUUGUCAGCUAAGUGGCGCACGGGUGAGUAAUAUAUAGUUAACCUGCCCCAAAGAAGAGAAUAAUUGUUGGAAACGACUUGUAAUGCUCUAUAUGCCUUUAUCACAUAAGUGAACAAGGGAAAUAUUUAUAGCUUUGGGAUGAGACUGUACGGUAUCAGUUAGUUGGUGAGGUAAUGGCUCACCAAGACUAUGACGCCUAACUGGUUUGAGAGGAUGAUCAGUCACACUGGAACUGAGACACGGUCCAGACUCCUACGGGAGGCAGCAGUGGGGAAUAUUGCACAAUGGAGGAAACUCUGAUGCAGCAACGCCGCGUGGAGGAUGACACAUUUCGGUGCGUAAACUCCUUUUAUAUGAGAAGAUAAUGACGGUAUCAUAUGAAUAAGCACCGGCUAACUCCGUGCCAGCAGCCGCGGUAAUACGGGGGGUGCAAGCGUUACUCGGAAUCACUGGGCGUAAAGAGCAUGUAGGCUGGAUAAUAAGUUGGAAGUGAAAUCCUAUGGCUUAACCAUAGAACUGCUUCCAAAACUAUUUUCCUAGAGUAUGGGAGAGGUAGAUGGAAUUUCUGGUGUAGGGGUAAAAUCCGUAGAGAUCAGAAGGAAUACCGAUUGCGAAGGCGAUCUACUGGAACAUUACUGACGCUGAGGCGCGAAAGCGUGGGGAGCAAACAGGAUUAGAUACCCUGGUAGUCCACGCCCUAAACGAUGUACACUAGUUGUUGCUAUGCUAGACAUAGCAGUAAUGCAGUUAACACAUUAAGUGUACCGCCUGGGGAGUACGGUCGCAAGAUUAAAACUCAAAGGAAUAGACGGGGACCC
rnacentral:rRNA from 1 species